rnacentral:rRNA from 1 species
AUUGAACGCUGGCGGCAGGCCUAACACAUGCAAGUCGAGCGGAUGAAGGGAGCUUGCUCCUGGAUUCAGCGGCGGACGGGUGAGUAAUGCCUAGGAAUCUGCCUGGUAGUGGGGGAUAACGUCCGGAAACGGGCGCUAAUACCGCAUACGUCCUGAGGGAGAAAGUGGGGGAUCUUCGGACCUCACGCUAUCAGAUGAGCCUAGGUCGGAUUAGCUAGUUGGUGGGGUAAAGGCCUACCAAGGCGACGAUCCGUAACUGGUCUGAGAGGAUGAUCAGUCACACUGGAACUGAGACACGGUCCAGACUCCUACGGGAGGCAGCAGUGGGGAAUAUUGGACAAGGGCGAAAGCCUGAUCCAGCCAUGCCGCGUGUGUGAAGAAGGUCUUCGGAUUGUAAAGCACUUUAAGUUGGGAGGAAGGGCAGUAAGUUAAUACCUUGCUGUUUUGACGUUACCAACAGAAUAAGCACCGGCUAACUUCGUG